rnacentral:rRNA from 1 species
AGAGUUUGAUCAUGGCUCAGAUUGAACGCUGGCGGCAGGCCUAACACAUGCAAGUCGAACGGUAACAGGAAACAGCUUGCUGUUUCGCUGACGAGUGGCGGACGGGUGAGUAAUGUCUGGGAAACUGCCUGAUGGAGGGGGAUAACUACUGGAAACGGUAGCUAAUACCGCAUAACGUCGCAAGACCAAAGAGGGGGACCUUCGGGCCUCUUGCCAUCAGAUGUGCCCAGAUGGGAUUAGCUAGUAGGUGGGGUAACGGCUCACCUAGGCGACGAUCCCUAGCUGGUCUGAGAGGAUGACCAGCCACACUGGAACUGAGACACGGUCCAGACUCCUACGGGAGGCAGCAGUGGGGAAUAUUGCACAAUGGGCGCAAGCCUGAUGCAGCCAUGCCGCGUGUAUGAAGAAGGCCUUCGGGUUGUAAAGUACUUUCAGCGGGGAGGAAGGGAGUAAAGUUAAUACCUUUGCUCAUUGACGUUACCCGCAGAAGAAGCACCGGCUAACUCCGUGCCAGCAGCCGCGGUAAUACGGAGGGUGCAAGCGUUAAUCGGAAUUACUGGGCGUAAAGCGCACGCAGGCGGUUUGUUAAGUCAGAUGUGAAAUCCCCGGGCUCAACCUGGGAACUGCAUCUGAUACUGGCAAGCUUGAGUCUCGUAGAGGGGGGUAGAAUUCCAGGUGUAGCGGUGAAAUGCGUAGAGAUCUGGAGGAAUACCGGUGGCGAAGGCGGCCCCCUGGACGAAGACUGACGCUCAGGUGCGAAAGCGUGGGGAGCAAACAGGAUUAGAUACCCUGGUAGUCCACGCCGUAAACGAUGUCGACUUGGAGGUUGUGCCCUUGAGGCGUGGCUUCCGGAGCUAACGCGUUAAGUCGACCGCCUGGGGAGUACGGCCGCAAGGUUAAAACUCAAAUGAAUUGACGGGGGCCCGCACAAGCGGUGGAGCAUGUGGUUUAAUUCGAUGCAACGCGAAGAACCUUACCUGGUCUUGACAUCCACGGAAGUUUUCAGAGAUGAGAAUGUGCCUUCGGGAACCGUGAGACAGGUGCUGCAUGGCUGUCGUCAGCUCGUGUUGUGAAAUGUUGGGUUAAGUCCCGCAACGAGCGCAACCCUUAUCCUUUGUUGCCAGCGGUCCGGCCGGGAACUCAAAGGAGACUGCCAGUGAUAAACUGGAGGAAGGUGGGGAUGACGUCAAGUCAUCAUGGCCCUUACGACCAGGGCUACACACGUGCUACAAUGGCGCAUACAAAGAGAAGCGACCUCGCGAGAGCAAGCGGACCUCAUAAAGUGCGUCGUAGUCCGGAUUGGAGUCUGCAACUCGACUCCAUGAAGUCGGAAUCGCUAGUAAUCAUGGAUCAGAAUGCCACGGUGAAUACGUUCCCGGGCCUUGUACACACCGCCCGUCACACCAUGGGAGUGGGUUGCAAAAGAAGUAGGUAGCUUAACCUUCGGGAGGGCGCUUACCACUUUGUGAUUCAUGACUGGGGUGAAGUCGUAACAAGGUAACCGUAGGGGAACCUGCGGUUG